UUCUAGAGCUGAGGUGUAGGUGCCAUUUGAAAAGCAAAGCAUAUUUAGCACCACAAUUUAAUACUUUGAAACGAAUACAAUACUUUUGUAAAAACAAUGGAAACAUAAGAUUUUUGAAUAGGAGGGUGUGCAGUGGUCAUGUCCUUCGUGGGAGAAGGGGCAACACCUUUUUGUGUUUUCAUGGAAGGGUACUGGGAAGGGGCCUUGUAGGAUUGCGUGGGGCUGGAACAUGUCUCUCUUGGUGGCGGGGCUGGCAGGGUGGGGCUUUCCUUCCCCCAUGGCGAUGGAAACAAGGAGCAGUCAGGUGGCUGUGCCCAGCAGCUUGAGAAUGGCCGAAGGAGGACACCCAGAACCUCUGAUGACACCAGUUCCCGUUAGAAUGACAGACCCUGCAGCCCGCAUACUUUCAAGGCAUGCAGACAUUGUACGCUCUGAGGGUGGGAGCCGCCGCUCUGAGGACAGCUUCUGCAAGGAGAGUUUAAAACCACCAGCUGCUGUGUCUGACCCCUUGGGCAGCCCAAAGAGAGGAUGGCCGAAGAAGUCUGAAACAAACAGGCAGAAAUAGCCAGAGUGUGAAAGUGUCUUCAAAGGACACCCUCGGAUUGGUGGAGCAGGAGAUCAGAUCAGGAUGGGCCUCAUCACAGAGGCCUGAGCCCAGUUUUCUGCCCCCUGCAGCUGAAUUCCUAACUGGGAUGCGUGAAAAUUCCGAUCCAGGAUGUUGGACUCUAAACACUGUGCUCCCGGCCCAUCUGCGCCGCUUCCUCUGCACCGAAGCCUGCCGGCGGCUGCCCUCACUUGUCCAAGGAGCCCGUGGCCAGUUCUCCAUGGCGACCAGGUCCACCUGCCCGGGAGGUCUCGGUCACCACGCCUGCUGAAUUCUCUGCGUCGCACACCUGAGAGGCAAACUCCAUUUCCCAAACAGCCCAAGUGGAAGUCUGGGUCCCGUAUGUUUUGUUCGCCUCUCGCCACUGCCCUCACCCCCAGGUCCAAACGCCAUGCUGACCCAGGAGAGGUGGGAAUAGGAGCAAGGUGGGGCAGGUGAGUAGACCUUUCUGGGUCUCCUUCGCUUUCCUCUCUGUCUUAGCUCGGGCUGCUGUAACAGGACGACACACACUGGGUGGCUUAUAAACAACAGAACUCAGUAUCUGGAGGCUGGAAGUCCAAGGUCAAGGCAACGGAGGUUUUGGUGUCUGGUGGGGGCCUGCUUCGUAGAGGACAGUCUUCUUCCUGUGUCCCCAUGUGGCCUCUUCUGUAAGGGCACUAAUCUCACUCAUCAGGGCUCCACCCUCUUGACCUAAUCACCUCCUCGAUGUCCUACCUCCAGCUGGGAGCGCCUCGGGAUUAGGUGUCGACGUGUGAAGUGGGGGGCACAAACCCUUGGUCUGCAGCCUUUCCGUUCCCAGCCACUCUCUGGACUCACUCCGGUCCCACACUUUUCCCUCCACCCUCCUAGCUUUCACCCUGGUAGGUCCUCCCCAGCCAUCAAGGGCUGCACAGGGGUGUCUGCUCAGCAAAGCCACGGACAGCCGGCUGGGGUGGUGAGUUCAUCUGCCCGGCAAGCUUUCCCACACUCCUCUGGGUUUCUCUGGAGCAUGCCCUAGUGCCACGUGCUGUCAGUCACGGCCCCGCCCCUGCCACGGGGGUGGUCAGGACACAGGCAGACCAGUCAGACAGUCCAGCCCCCAUGGCCACCGAGAUUGGCUCAGGGGUGGGCACGUGAUGCAAAGAGGAGCAGUCAGACUCUUUGCCGAGACUGAUGUGAGAAUAUUGCAAGCGAGAGGUGCUCUUCUCACCGCCGUGGCUCACCUGGCACGUCGCGAGCUCGCAGCCGCGGGGGACCAUUCUGCCUGCCUUGGAAGAGCACCUCUGUGCCGAAGAAAACCAGGUACAGACAGAGCUUCUGUUGCAGCUGAGCCUGGAGCAUAGCCCUGGGCUUCCUGCGUUUUAUUUGAGCUGGUUAGACAUGGGGUUCUGUUCUUGGCACCUGAAGGAGACCUGACCUGGAUAACCUCUCUGACCCUAGGGCCCCCCACCUUGUACAGUUUUGGAGUUAGUAGCCCAUUUUUUCUUCUCUGCACAUUGUCACCACUUGCUGCUGUUCCCCUCAGGGGGACCUCCCACAGCCCCUCAGCCAUCGGUCAUUACAGUUAGUGAAGGGCGACUGAGUGAACGAGGCAGGGGUGAGCCUACGGCCGCCUUGAGCCCCUUCCUGCAGCUGCUACCACUUCUACCUAAGGACCUGCUGCGUCUGAACUUCCUUUGCGAAGAGACCUUUGAAGAGAACAAGCAGACCGAGCCCCACCGGCCUGCAUUCCUGCUUCGGGAGUGAGGCUGGGCUUGCGGGCAGUGCCUCUGCGAUCCGGGUGAUCCGGGCCUGACCGGCCUCGGGCCGAGAGGACAGACAGAACUGUUUCUGGAGCAACGAGAGGGCCCAAAGCCACAGCACCAGCACCUGCCAGGGACAGCUGGCAUCAGAAUGCAUCUUGGCCCCUUAGAAGGCAGCCAGGAGGUCAGAGGCGGGCCCUGCUGUGGUCGUGGGGCCAUGGCUGGGGACGGCGGGCCCGUUGGAAUGGGUAGAAAGCUGAGUUCCUGCCAGGAAGCUUGACCAUCUACAGCCCCUGCUCCCUGGGAAAAGUUCAGAUUUAUUUACUGUGUCGCCACCCUGGGCACCGUCUUCAGUGUGGCUGCAGGAAUAAAAGUUAUGGCUUUGGGAAAAAAAAGGAAUCAGAGGAGCAGCAUGCUUCCAGGUCCGCAACUUGAGGAAGCUUGGCAGGUGGUUGGAGAAAUGUUUCCCUGUAGUAAAUUAGACAGUGUUUUAUUUUUCCUUUAGCUAGUCUUUCAUAAUAAAUUCUACUGCGGGGCGGUGGGCAGGGUUCUUUCAAGUGAUUCUUUCCUGAAACAUAACACCUGCUGGUCUCGAGGGCCAGCAAGGGCGCUUGAUAAGUCUGAUAUUGAUGGAAAUAAAAUAUUUACA